AGGACCCCAGUCCUGGUGCCAGCUGUUCCCACUCAGUGAUCAGGACUGAGCAUAGACAGCUCACCAUGGAGCUGGCGCUUAGCUGGGUUUUUCUGUUUGCAAUUUUCAAAGGUGUCCACGCAGAAGUACAGCUCACACAAUCUGGAGGAGGCUUGGUACAGCCUGGGGAGUCCCUUAGACUGUCCUGCGUGGCCUCAGGAUCAACCUUAAGCAAUUACUGGAUGGACUGGGUCCGCAAGGCUCCCGGGAAGGGGCUGGAGUGGAUCUCAGCUAUCAGUAACAGUGGUAGCACAUAUUACGCUGACUCCGUGAAGGGCCGAUUCACCAUCUCUAGGGACAAUGGCAAGAACGCGCUGUAUCUUCAGAUGAGCAACCUGAGACCCGAGGACACGGCCGUGUACUAUUGUGCAAAUGACACAGUGAGAGAAACCUCAGGGGGAGUCAGUCAUAAACUUCCGUGCAGGGACGCUGAGGACCAGGAGGUGUCGCUGUAG